rnacentral:lncRNA from 1 species
CUAUUUGUGAAGUUGUGCUUUUCUCUUUUUGUAUGCUCUAUGUAGUUGGAACAUUUUAAUGUAUAUGCACACAUCAACUAAAAGUCUUGCAGUUAAACCUGGUGGCCCAUUGUAUCAAUGUCAAAUCAAUAAAGCAGCCUGGCUUUUGGCUAUGCUACGUUUAACAACUAAGGUUACAAGAAGAUCUAGAAUAGCUCAGUCUUUUGGACUUGGCUGUGCUUUUUGGGCUGGUCAGGGUCAUGGGAUGCCGACCUCAAUGAGGAAUGCUCAUUCUCCCUAUCCAGAGCGAAUGAAGGAAAGAUGCUAGCCUGGGGUUUCUUAGAUGUCAUCUGCCACUAUCUCAUUCUGAUUUAUUUCCUUAACCCUCAAAAAGAAAAAUAUCAUAAUAAUAAACAAAUAAAACAUACUGGGAAAACUUACAAUUCUACAGGAAAAACAUUCAUGACUAAUGGUUUUGCAUGGUUUGUGUCUGCUGACUGAUUCUACUUACGUCGCGUAUCAAAUGAUAAUUUUUAUUUUUAUUUUGCAGGCUGGAACAUGGGAGGAGAAAAAUCUAAAUAAAUGGGC